rnacentral:rRNA from 1 species
UACGAAGGGGGCUAGCGUUGCUCGGAAUCACUGGGCGUAAAGCGCACGUAGGCGGAUUGCUAAGUCAGGGGUGAAAUCCUGGAGCUCAACUCCAGAACUGCCUUUGAUACUGGAGAGCUUGAGUUCGGGAGAGGUGAGUGGAACUGCGAGUGUAGAGGUGAAAUUCGUAGAUAUUCGCAAGAACACCAGUGGCGAAGGCGGCUCACUGGCCCGAUACUGACGCUGAGGUGCGAAAGCGUGGGGAGCAAACAGG